rnacentral:rRNA from 1 species
GACGAACGCUGGCGGCGUGCUUAACACAUGCAAGUCGAACGAAGAGCGAUGGAAGCUUGCUUCUAUCAAUCUUAGUGGCGAACGGGUGAGUAACGCGUAAUCAACCUGCGCUUCAGAGGGGGACAACAGUUGGAAACGACUGCUAAUACCGCAUACGAUCUAAUCUCGGCAUCGAGGAUAGAUGAAAGGUGGCCUCUACAUGUAAGCUAUCACUGAAGGAGGGGAUUGCGUCUGAUUAGCUAGUUGGAGGGGUAACGGCCCACCAAGGCGAUGAUCAGUAGCCGGUCUGAGAGGAUGAACGGCCACAUUGGGACUGAGACACGGCCCAGACUCCUACGGGAGGCAGCAGUGGGGAAUCUUCCGCAAUGGACGAAAGUCUGACGGAGCAACGCCGCGUGAGCGAUGACGGCCUUCGGGUUGUAAAGCUCUGUUAAUCGGGACGAAAGGCCUUCUUGCGAAUAGUGAGAAGGAUUGACGGUACCGGAAUAGAAAGCCACGGCUAACUACGUG